UGCAAGGGUAAAGGGUAUUGAAUUCAAUUCUAAAUUGCUCCCAGCUGGACUCACUGCACUUAUUUCUUUCAAAGACAUUCCAAAUGGUGGGGAGAACAUAGGUGCUAAGACCAUUUUUGGUCCUGAACCUUUGUUUGCUGAUGAGUUCACUCGAUGUUCAGGAGAAAGACUUGCUCUUGUGGUUGCAGAUACACAGAAACAUGCAGAUGUAGCAUCAAGCAUUGCAGUGGUUGAUUAUGACUUGGAAAAUCUGGACCGUCCCAUUUUAACUGUAGAACAGGCUAUUAAGAGAUCCAGCCUUUUUGAGGUCCCUUCUUUUAUCUACCCCAAACAAAUUGGUGAUGUAUCAAAGGGAAUGGCUGAAGCUGAUCACAAGAUUAUCUCUGCUGAGAUAAAACUAGGAUCACAAUAUUAUUUUUAUAUGGAGAAUCAAACUGCCCUUGCUGUGCCUGAUGAAGAAAACUGCAUGGUGGUUUACAGUUCAACGCAAUGCCCUGAGUUUGCACAUGCUGUAAUUGCUGAAUGUCUUGGGGUUCCUGAACAUAAUGUGCGUGUAAUUACAAGGAGG
rnacentral:misc_RNA from 1 species